rnacentral:misc_RNA from 1 species
UUAAAAUAUUAAAAUUUUACUCAGACAAUAAAUGAUUCAGAGUGUUGGUCCUCUGGCAGGCACUAACUAGCCAAGGCCAGUAGCACUGAGGCAGGCCUGCCAAAGCAACAAAGUAUGUAAACAGAGGGUGGGAGAUCUACCCCAAGGGGCAAGUUCUCAGUAAUGAUCCUUCCGCAGGUUCACCUACGGAAA